CAGGUCUUUCUGCAGGUGGCUCCACAGAACGCUUCAUGUUUCUGUAAAGGUCUUGAUCAGCCUCCACAUACAUUUCUUGUUGCUCAGCUUCCAGCUGCUGCUGUCUCCGUAGUUCUUCCCGAUGCCUCUCUGUUUGGGCAAAAAACUGGCGAAGUUCCUCCGUGAUCUCCAUGUUACUCAGGUCAUAUUCAAACUCCCCUUCAGACUCCGAGUCUUCCUCCACUUCAGAGUCU
rnacentral:lncRNA from 1 species